UACGUAGGGUGCAAGCGUUGUCCGGAAUUAUUGGGCGUAAAGAGCUCGUAGGCGGUUUGUCGCGUCUGCUGUGAAAACUCGAGGCUUAACCCCGGGCCUGCAGUGGGUACGGGCAGACUAGAGUGCGGUAGGGGAGACUGGAAUUCCUGGUGUAGCGGUGAAAUUCGCAGAUAUCAGGAGGAACACCGAUGGCGAAGGCAGCUCACUGGGACGGUACUGACGCUGAGGCGCGAAAGCGUGGGGAUCAAACAGG
rnacentral:rRNA from 1 species